GGGAAUCUUCCGCAAUGGACGAAAGUCUGACGGAGCAACGCCGCGUGAGCGAUGAAGGCCUUCGGGUCGUAAAGCUCUGUUGCCAGGGAAGAACAAGUACCGGAGUAACUGCCGGUACCUUGACGGUACCUGACCAGAAAGCCACGGCUAACUACGUGCCAGCAGCCGCGGUAAUACGUAGGUGGCAAGCGUUGUCCGGAAUUAUUGGGCGUAAAGCGCGCGCAGGCGGUUCCUUAAGUCUGAUGUGAAAGCCCCCGGCUCAACCGUGGAGGGUCAUUGGAAACUGGGGAACUUGAGUGCAGAAGAGGAGAGCGGAAUUCCACGUGUAGCGGUGAAACGCGUAGAGAUGUGGAGGAACACCAGUGGCGAAGGCGGCUCUCUGGUCUGUAACUGACGCUGAGGCGCGAAAGCGUGGGGAGCGAACAGGAUUAGAUACCCUGGUAGUCCACGCCGUAAACGAUGAGUGCUAAGUGUUAGAGGGUUUCCGCCCUUUAGUGCUGCAGCAAACGCAUUAAGCACUCCGCCUGGGGAGUACGGCCGCAAGGCUGAAACUUAAAGGAAUUGACGG
rnacentral:rRNA from 1 species